AGAACCCUAGACGGAAGUGUUCCAAGUAGAAACUUUUGAUGAAGCCAAGAAAUAGGAACUACCCCAAGGACCCUUUUUAGGACCUGUUUGCACUAAACGAAGAAAUCAUCCAACAGGAUUAGACAUCAGUUGUUCUCCAGUCUUGUGAUUCUCCAUUUUCUCAGCUCCAUGAUCCAGUUAGUUAAUGAGUGCAAGUUAAUUAGGAGACAGAGGAGCCACUCCACUGAGAGGGAGAGAAAAUCCGUUAAGAGUUAAUCACUUAAUGUCCCAAUUGCCCAAUUCAAUUACACCGAGCGCGCUCUGUUCCAACACAGGCGAUGUUAAUGAAACACAGCCGCUCUGACUGGGAGAGUGAAAGAGGAACAAUAAGGAAUCGAGUCAUUAGCGCCACUCUUUUCAUAACGAUACAAGAUCUCAUUUUAUGUCUCUCUAACACACACAGUGAUCAAACAAAUGAAGUGUGGUAUUCAUUAUGUUUGUCAGCAGGUCAUCCUCAUCAGAAUCUGAAUGAAAGCAGGAUCUUUUUUCCCUCACAAGACGUGAAGGAGGAUGUGUUGUGUUCUCAUGGUGAAAGAAUGCUCUGUUUUUGAACCCUGUUAUUUUGCGUGAGGAGAAGUGCAGCUCCUGACCGAGGUUACCAACUGUGUUUUUGUGUAUGUGUGUGAGAGACUGAGCAAGUCAAUGUCGGAACUCUUGCAAAAGAUGAGGAUGAGACUAUAGUGCACACCAUGGUAAAAUCUAGUAAAAUCUCCUACCACAAACAAUGAACAUUCACCUGAACUCCAGGCUCAUAGUAAACAAGACUUUAUAAACA